AGAAACGUCUCCAGAGAAUGUGCCUCACAUUUCGAGUGAAGCCGAAGUGGUUCGCCGAGGUACACUGGACAUUGUGCAAAGGAGUUCUGCGUGCAACAUAUCGGGUACAGCCUCACAUGCAGCUCUGUUGGCCAGAAUAAACGCUCUGGAACGACAGCUGACUAUUGCGAAGGCUAAGGCGAGGGUGAAAGAGCGGGAGCACAAGAA